rnacentral:misc_RNA from 1 species
GUUCAAUCCACAACUCGAGCAGAUCCGGGUCAUUGUGAGCUCUCCUCCCACCCGCAAAUCGCCUCCUUCUUUCAGUCUCUUCUCCGGCGUAGAUCAACCACCAGACGAACUCCGGCCAGUGACUCGUUCUCCUUUUCGGCAACUCGAGCAACGCCCAACAACUCGCCAGGGAAGCGUUUCACGUUUGUUUCAGGAGCGUUUUUCCUCUUCCGGCGAGGUUCGGGUUCUCGAUAACUUUGGUGUUACUCUCAAAUAUCCCUCCUGUUUCUGCUGAAGAUGGCUACUGCAUCAGUUGCUUUCAAAUCUAGGGAGGAUCAUCGCAAACAACUAGAAUUAGAGGAAGCACGCAAGGCAGGGCUUGCGCCAGCUGAGGUUGAUGAAGAUGGGAAAGA